rnacentral:rRNA from 1 species
CACGUAGGUGGUUUUGUAAGUCGGAUGUGAAAGCCCUGGGCUCAACCUGGGAAUUGCAUUCGAUACUGCUUAACUAGAGUAUGGUAGAGGGAAGUGGAAUUUCCGGUGUAGCGGUGAAAUGCGUAGAUAUCGGAAGGAACACCAGUGGCGAAGGCGACUUCCUGGGCCAAUACUGACACUGAGGUGCGAAAGCGUGGGUAGCAAACA